AUUCAGUAGUAGGAAGAGGAAAUGGUCACUCUCUCUUGAGCAGGGGGAGACCUAAAGGUCUGUGAAGGAGUGGUGUAGGGGAGAGUUGGUUCCAAGAAGUCCAGUGUGUACUGGGAAAAUGAAGAGUGAAAAUUGCCUUUUUCUUUAUUGCUUGGUGUACAGUGACUUUGGAGAAAGAAAUUGAUUUCCCACCACAGUUCCAGAGGGAAGUUUUACUUCGGGAGCUUCAGUUGGGUGAGGGGACCAGUGUGGACCCUGUGAAUUUCUACUCUGCACAGGCCGUCCUCCCUCCCAGGCUCCACAAACACCAUCUGUGAGUGCUGAGGACACAUUUUCAGAAGAAAGCCAAAGCCCUCCUUUAAGAGAUAUUGGAAAAUUAAUUAGACUGUGCCUACCUUCGCUGGAUGAUGGCAGAGACCUUUUAGACACCCGCUUCUGGAACAGGGGAAAUAAUUUUAUAGGAGCUACUGAUUUGAAUUUGACCUCCUUCCACUGCCCUUGCCCUUCUUCUGAUGGUAAAAUUGCCAAAGCGCUGGCAGCAGAAAGAAGAAAGGAAGAAAGCCAAAGUCCUGCAGAGUCAUUCUGAAUAGGAAGGCAGUUUGGCUGAAUUCAAAUGAGGAUUACUGAACGGAAGCUCCUGGACAUCUGCGGAGGGAGAUUACAGCAGGAUGCAGGAGACAAGCCAAAUCUGUGUCUGUUCUCUGGUCUGAGUGAACAUACCUGAUUUAGCCCUCUGGAGCCUAACAACUUGGAAAGAUCAGAUGAGAGCAGUUCGAGUUGAAGCAUGAGAAAAUUAUCUGAUGUUCCGAGAUGUAGUAAUGCCAAAUUCCUUCAGACCUCACUGUUUGAUUUCUUUCACCUCCUGGACCCAAACAAAAAGGUAGCAUUCUUGUUGCUUCAUUGAAAUUAAAAAGAAGUGAACAGCCCACACGCACACAAUCUUCCAAAUGCCAAAUCCCACAGUUCCUGGGCUGUUUAGCCAAGACAAUUGCCCAUUUUAUUCCCAGGAGGUGAAUCAGCUCCUUGAUGGCCAUUUGUAAUAAACAUGAUU